rnacentral:rRNA from 1 species
AAUCAACGCUGGCGGCGUGCCUCAGACAUGCAAGUCGAACGAUUAAAGCUCUCUUCGGAGAGUGCAUAGAGUGGCGCACGGGUGAGUAACACGUAAGUAAUCUACCUUCGAGUGGGGAAUAACGUCCGGAAACGGACGCUAAUACCGCAUAAUGCAGCGGCAUCGCAAGAUGACAGUUGUUAAAGGAGCAAUUCGCUUGAAGAGGAGCUUGCGGCAGAUUAGCUUGUUGGUAAGGUAACGGCUUACCAAGGCUACGAUCUGUAACCGGUCUAAGAGGACGGUCGGUCACACUGACACUGAAUAACGGGUCAGACUCCUACGGGAGGCAGCAGUCGGGAAUUUUGGGCAAUGGGCGAAAGCCUGACGCAGCGACGCCGCGUGAGGGAUGACGGCCUCGGUUGUAACU